rnacentral:sRNA from 1 species
UGGAAAGUUCAUAUUCCAAUGGGUAAGUC